UUCAUUUUUCUUGUUUUUUUGCUUACCUUUCAAAAAGAGCAGUUUAAUUGUAAUUUUAAGAAUAGAUGUUUAAACAGUGCUGAAGACACUGAAAUUGGUUUAGCAGAUAAAAAUCCUACUGAAAAUAUGUUAGGAAAUUAAUGCAGUUGCGCUUCGAUGCUUUUUGAAAACGACAAUUAAUUAUUGUGAAAGUUCCAAUGUCACAAUCUACUAGAAAGUCAUAGCAGUGAAAGUUUUGGUUUCCCUUGCACUUCUUCUUUACGUUAGGUACAGGACCUCAAUAUUAAGGUAUGUGGAGUCAUACAGUUCCCACUCCUGGCUUUCUUUGCGUGUCAAAAUCUGCAGAGAGAGCUUAGUGAAUUUUAAGAAUAGCAAAUCAAACGUGUAUUGGCUGGAAGUUAAACUGGAAAACCACCUGAAAAGAAAUUUAAGCAAAUUAAGCAACCAACGUAGAGGAAGACAACAAAACAACUGAUGCAGCCAGAAUCGCAGUCCAAUUUGCUUUGGAAAAUGCAUAAAGAAACGUGUAAAGAAAAAAGACAUGGGUAGGCACCUUAAAAAGCUAGAAAGGACCAAAUAAAAAAAGAUAAACAAGACCAAGAAAAAAGUUCUUGGAAAAAUACAUCCUGUCUUGAUUUUUAACUGGUAAAGGCAACUGCUUCAGCAAUAGAAACACUUAAGGCUGCCGAAACAAACUCUAUGGAAUUAUUUCAAGAUGGGGAGAUUGAACCAACAAGCCAGUCUUAAGUUGAAAUCGAAACCCGACAGAGAAUAUCAUCUGUAAAAGUUAUGAAAAAUACAAAAAAAAGAUAAAGAUGUCUAAAACUGGAAAAGAUGAAGGAAAAAACUUACCUUAUAAUAGUUCCUCUUCUAAUUGUGAACUUGUAAGAAAAACUGAUGCUCGUUUAGAAGUAAUCGAAGCUGCCGAAACAAAUUCUAUGGAAUUAUUUCAAGAAAUAGAGAACGUUAUUUGGUUGUUAGUUAUUUGUUUGGUUGGUUGUAAACAAUUGUUAGUUUGAAAAACAAUUCUUUGAUGCCUAGUGCAAGUAGACCAUAUGUUUGCCUUUUUUUACUAUGCUCGAAUUUGCAGUCACAUUUCAUCAAGGUACAUAAAAAUACAAUAUCGCC